AACCAGACGAGGUGUGGAAAGGGCAGGGAUCUCCUUUACACAUCUGUGUUGUGUCUGUGCAAGAGCGUUUUCUUAUCCCAAGAUGCUCUAUGAGUCCCUUCCAGGUUACUCAAAAGUCAAGAAUCGGUAAGUAUGCAAACAUGACAGCUCUGCCGCUUUGCAGAUUUCUAGUGCUUAUCUAUUUUUUUCCUGAUAGAAAGGGUGGUUGGUGUUACCUGGACGAGAAGGGCAGUGCACUGAGCCUUAGAGAGGCUCAUGCAUGUCAGACCAGAGAGACGGAAGCUUGGACAGGCAGAGGGCACUGGGCUGAGAUGGGGCAGGAGUGCACCACAGCUGGACAGACCCGUGCAUGCAGGGGCAGAAUCCUUGCCUGCAGGGGUCUCCAUGUACGGUUAUUUGUUGUGAGCUAGCAAACUCAGCGAUGUAACAGGGAUGGACAGGAAAGGAAGAGGGAAGUGGGGGAGAGACACGGAGAUGAGCCCUGGGUUGGGGGAAAGAGAAGGCCAGCAGCCCUCCACGGGGCCCUACAAUCUGUCCUGCGUCCCCACAGUGAAGUGGUCACUCAGCCUCAAAGUCAGUGUGGAUAAGGUAUCAGCCCAUGAGAGAAGAAUGAUUUGAGAUUUGUUUCCAUCUGUCUUUCCUAAGUCAAGCAGGAGGGACCACCUUCUCCCACAAAGGUGAACUCAAGGGCACAGGACAUUUAGCUGGUUGAAUCGUUGCCCUUGCCUGAUGCAUGUUCAUGCUGAUCACCUGAAUGUCCUGCGUGCGAUCCUCUCUUCCUCCCUGUGCGAGGGCCAUUUCGCCCCCAGGCAUCUGAAAGCCUUCAGCAUGGAUGUGGGUCCCUUCCUUGUUAGAUGCAGGGUGUGGGACACGUUGUCUAACUUGCCAUGCUUCUCAAUGAGCGAGGGCAUGGAACACCCAAGACUGGGACAUGGGUCAAGCCAUGAAAUCGGUGAUGAUUUUUAUGGCAACAAUAGGAAUUCCACAACCUCGGUGCCCCUCCCUGCAGGGCCCCGAGACGUCCAUCAUCGUCUGGACGAACAUGGCUUUCGCAGUGAGACGCAACCCAUCCUAACAGUGAUGCCACAGGAUAGUCCACCGCCCAAGGUCAUCUCGAGUUGGUCCAAACAGAUGGAAAGUAAGGGGUCAGAUGUGAGCUGGGUUUCCUAAUGACAACUCAACACAGAGAUGACCCUAUGGGAAGAAGACCCUCUGCAGCAGUUACUGCACCUGCCUGUGAGCAGAACCAGGUGCUGAGAAGUUCAAACACAGGCUCCAAGGUGCCAGCUCUCAGGAGCUUGCCUGGGGCCCAAGACCACCUCCAAACACAUCAGGAAUCCCACAGGCUGGUUGAAGUGGUUGAUUUCUGCAUUUGCCUGUGGUCCAGUGCACCCUCCAUAUUAGGAAACAAGCUCCUCAUGGUCUGGGAUCUUGUGCCUCUGUCACCUCCCAAAGCUUCAGCACAUAAAAGAUACUCGGAAUAACGCCUGUCAAAAUGAGCAAGAUGCAGGUGCUCACACGAGGCCCUGGGGCAGGACAGGAGUUCAGAGAGCCUGGGUUGGCCGUGGAGCCCCGGGAAGCUCUGGAGGGAAGCUUGGAAUAUCAACACCCCACGCACCGCCUACCCUCCCUCCUGGGGCUUCUGACUUACUGACAAGCUAGUGAACAGGCUUUUGUACGAGCUGCGACAUGUGCAGCCUCCCUGAUCCUCCAGCCUCUGCACUGCCCAUCUUGACUUGCCUCAGGUAUGGAGCCCACAAUUGGCACCAUUUUUCUCCUCUACCUUCAUGUUGACAAUUGCCCCCUUCAAUUCAGAAGAUGCAUCCUAAGAGUGAUCGCAGGGACACUUCUACACUGGUGACCACAGCUGACUGGAGGCAACCUGUUGACACUAGUACUCAAAGGAAUCUGUGAACACUAGACCAAAGGAGAGAGGCUCGAAAUGCAACACGAGACUGACUGCCUUGGAGUCAGUUUGAUUCUGAUUCUCUCACUUAGGAUGCAAUACCCAGCACAGACCCUUCGGAUGACAGACUCCAAAGCCACUCUCAAACCCUCACUCUUGCUUUUUAGUUAUAGAGGACAGACAGCAAGAUACUCAUCUUUUUGACUUCCUUUGUGAUCAGUUAUAGCACUGUGACCUAAUUCAGGCCACUGAACAUUUAUGUGGAGGUACCUACAGAAGGCAUCCCUUCAAGUAAGCGCUCACAGGUUGUGGAGAAAUUUAUUUUAGCCUUCCUGUCUCCUGCCAAUAAUGUAGAUGUGAUGGCUGGAAGUGGAUUAGCCAUCUUAUAACCAUAGGGAGAAAAACAUAAAAACCACAGGCUACAGGUGUUGGGAAAAGAAGCGAGAAGGGGUCUAGGUUCUGCAGGAGCUCUGACCUCUGGAUUUAGUCCUGCAUGAGGAAAUAAAACCAUCAUUGUGUGUUCAUACCACCGACAUGGGGAUCUUUAUUACUUGUAGCAGAAACAUUACCUGGUGACAUAAAUAUUCCAGUAUGAGAAAAACCAUUUCCUGGGGUGAACCCUCUGUGGUCUGUAUGUACAGCAGUCCUCGUGGGCCAUUUUCUCCUGCCAGCUGGGCCAGGGAAACACCCUCCUGACUCGGGCCUCCCCUGUCUGCUGAGAGCUGGCUAGAAGCAGGAAGAACUCAAGGUCUAACCCCAGAAACUCAGGUCAAACUCUGACUCUGGAAUCACAGGCUGUGGGACCCUGAGUGAUUUUUGAGACUGUCGGAGCUCCACCUUUAUUUUAAACAGUGUUACCUAAUACAUUUCUACAGAGACUGUUCCCAGCAUGUGCUAAUACAUUAAAAACCCUCAUCUUA